rnacentral:rRNA from 1 species
AGCGAACGCUGGCGGCAGGCUUAACACAUGCAAGUCGAGCGGGCAUCCUUGUGGUGUCAGCGGCGGACGGGUGAGUAACGCGUGGGAACGUGCCUUCUGGUUCGGAAUAACUCAGGGAAACUUGAGCUAAUACCGGAUACGCCCUUUUGGGGAAGGGUUUACUGCCGGAAGAUCGGCCCGCGUAUGAUUAGAUAGUUGGUGGGGUAACGGCCUACCAAGGCGACGAUCAGUAGCUGGUCUGAGAGGAUGAUCAGCCACCCUGGGACUGAGACAAGGCCCAGCCUCCUACGGGAGGAAGCAGUGGGGAAUAUUGGACAAUGGGCGCAAGCCUGAUCCAGCCAUGCCGCGUGAGUGAUGAAGGCCUUAGGGUUGUAAAGCUCUUUUAUCCGGGACGAUAAUGACGGUACCGGAGGAAUAAGCCCCGGCUAACUUCGUGCCAGCCGCCGCCGUAAGAC